GCGACGGUAGCUCAGCGGUAGAGCAGGUGUUCCGUCAUUCUUGUCGCGCUCGAUGAUGCUUCGGUUCAAUUGCUUCAACGUCGUCUCCAUCGAAUGCAGGUGGAACUACAGGGGUGCAGAGAUCGCAGGUUCGAAUCCUGCCCGUUGCC
rnacentral:tRNA from 1 species